GUGGGAUUGCCUAGUGGUUAAAGCAAUCGCUCGUCACGCCAAACACCCAGGUUCGAUUCAAUGCAUGGGCACAAUGUGUGAAGCCCAUUUCUGGUGUCUCCAGCUGUGAUAUUGCUGG